rnacentral:sRNA from 1 species
CUACCGUCUGCUGCCCGCAUUCGCCCGCCCGGCGUCCGAGCCCUUCAGCGGCGACGGGCGGAGCUGGAGCCCCGGGCCUGGGCGCCAGGGGGGCUCCUGGGAGGGUGAUGAAGCAGGCCCUGGUGGACGAUACCGAGGAUGUGUCCCUGGACUUUGGAAACGAGGAGGAGCUGGCCUUUAGGAAAGCCAAGAUCAGAAUGUAACCGGAAGACUCCUGGUGGGCCUUCGAUGGUGGAACCAGAUAGAUGAAGAUGGGAAGAGCCACUGGAUCUUUGAAGCCAGGAAGGUCUCUCCGAAUAGCAUUGCUGCCACAGAAGCUGAAGCACGAAUCUUCUGGCUGGGCCUCAUAAUCUGCCCCAUGAUAUGGAUUGUGUUUUUUUUUAGCACCUUAUUUUCCUUGAAGCUAAAGUGGCUGGCUCUGGUGGUUGCUGGGAUCUCUCUCCAAGCUGCAAACCUGUAUGGCUACAUCCUUUGUAAGAUGGGAGGCAACAGUGACAUUAGCAAGGUCACAGCCAGUUUCCUGUCCCAGACAGUGUUCCAGACGGCCUGCCCAGGUGACUUUCAGAAGCCUGGCCUCAAGGGGCUGGAGAUUCACCAGCAUUAGCACCAGAGCGCUGGCAUCUGUAACUCUUUGCCACCAUGUCCCCAGAGGAGACUGAAGUGCUGUCCUCAUGCCUUCCUGUCUGUUCCUAGGAAGAUAUUUCCCCUGACAAACGUCCUGCCCACCAAUCCCAUCUUGGCAGAGCUGAACUGUGGCAGAGGUACAGGCUGGCAGGAAUGGAUGUGCCCUGGGCUGCUGCAAGCUCCUGUCCCCAGUCACAUCCAUUCAUGCAGCCCAACUGCCUCCAGGGGCCUCAGAGGGCAGCUCUCAUCACCACUUCCGGCCACUGCAAAAGCUGCCUGGGAAAGCAGAAACAGUUUGCAGAGCAGCCUUCCGAUCGUUUCCUCAACCAUGAGAUCAGGAUCUUGUUGGGCUCGCCUGGCGGCCCCACACGCCCUCACCUUGCAUUUAGGACAGAUGAAGCCACUCAUGUUCUCCACCACCCCGAUGAUGGGCAGCUUCACCUUGCGGCAGAAGUUGAUUUCUUUCCGGACAUCCUGGAGUGACACCUCCUACGAAGGUGAAAAGGCCAGUGAUUCCAGCAUCAAAGUGCGAGAAAGGGAAUCUCUGUGCAACCGAGGGGAUGGCUGCAAUGCAGUGGAUCUGCAAUCAUAAAGCCAUAGAGGUUUCUGCCCUGAUAGGGUUUGGCU